GAAAUGGAAAGGGAAAAAUGAACAUGGAAGACAAGAAAGUUUUCUUCAUGUUUAGCGUAUGCGUGAUACGCUUUGAAUGUCUCAGAUAAAGAUAAAGAUACUCUGCUCAUUUCUAUUUGUUCCGCAGAACGAGAAAUUUGUUGUCUUUCAUAUUGGUUUUUACGAUUCAAUUUUUGGGCAGUUUUCCCUAGCGAGUGUCGGUCCCUGUUUGAUAUAACCAGACCGUAAUUUAUACAGAUAUGUAUUAUAGAUAUAUAUUUGUAAAACUGAAAUCAGAUGAAAUAAAUGUUGCCUGAGGUUUUAAACGUUUAAUAAAAACAAUAUUUCAUUUGGAAAAAAUGUAAGAUAUGUAAAAUUACACAUUGAUCAUUUUGCUGGUCUUGUAUCAUAAAACGUGUGGCCCGAAGAGCACGUGUCCGGUAGAGAUACGUCACUUGUGUUAGGAAUCGUUUUAUAACCUAUCACAGUAAAGGAACGUCCCAGUAUAGCAGCCGAAGAAUGCCGUGGAAGUUUUUGUACAAAGUACAAUUGAUCUACAAUUGAUAUUUUCCGCAAUACUUAUCUGGUGUUCGGUCAGGGUGUCCCAUACUCAUGAUAUUUAUAACAGUGGAAUGGCGUUAGUAAAUCAAUUACAAAAAUUUUCGAGAUCAAUUCUCGGUAUUGCAUCAAAUUAUUCAAAAUAUACAAGCAACACAACGUUGCCCUUUUUGCAGGCAACAAGAGGAAUAUCGACCACGCAACCACUUUCAGAAAAACAAGAGAGUAUAACAUCUAGAAAAAUAACAUAGUAUUAAUAGAAUAGUAUUAAUAAGAACAACAUUGACAGUGAACAACUAAAAAUAUAACACUGUUAUAAAUAUAUGAUAUACGAAUUUUAUUUAUGUAUUAUUAAGACAAGUAUAUCUUAUUUUUAAAUUAUUUCUAUUAUCAUAAGUGAUACAUAUAAUUAAGAGUAAAUAUAACGUUUGUUAAAGCAAGUGGAGAGAGAAUCAAAGCAAAAGGGAAAGUAGGAGAUACUAUAUUAGACAUAGUAGUAAAUAAUGAAAUUGAUUUAGGUGGAUAUGGUGCUUGUGAAGGAACAUUAACUUGUAGUACGUGCCGUUUAAUAUUUUCGAAAGAAGUUUAUGAUGCACUUCCUGACAAACCAACAGAUGAAGAAUUAGACAUGUUGGAUUUAGCAUAUGAAUUAACAGAUACGUUAUAAUCAGUAAUAUUAAUAAUCAGUAUCAAAUCAUUCACAUUAUUAAUUCUAUUACCUUUUAAUAUUUUAUAAAGUGAAUUUUUCUAUUUAAAUUUAUGUAAAAACAGGUCACGGCUAGGCUGUCAAAUAGUAAUGUCUAAGGAACUAGAUGGAAUUGAGGUAAGAGUUCCAUCAACAAUUAAUGAUGCAAGAGCAUAACUGAAAUUAUCUAUAGGUUUUUGAAAAUUUGUAUACAAUGUUAUACAUCUCUUGUUAAAAAACCCUUGUUAUAAUUAUUAAAAUAUUGGUAUUAAAAAAAUAUAAUAAAGAAUCUUGUGUUUAAAUGUGAAGCUUAUAUAUAUACAUAUGUUAUAGUAUAAUUGCAAUUUUGAUAUUUGUACAUUGCCAUUGUAAAAGGCCUAUCCAAUUAUGAAGAAAAUAUAUCUUUUAUUUUUAAUAUA